GGUUUAAUUCGAUGCUACACGAAGAACCUUACCAGGGCUUGACAUGUUAGAAGUAGGGACCCGAAAGGGCGACGGCCUGUACCCAGUCAGGAGCUUUCACAGGUGCUGCAUGGUUGUCGUCAGCUCGUGUCGUGAGAUGUACGGUUAAGUCCGUGAACGAGCGCAACCCCUGCCCUUAGUUGCUAAUAUGCGAAAGCAUAUGCACUCUAAGGGGACCGCCAGCGGAAAGCUGGAGGAAGUGGGAUGACGUCAAAUCCUCAUGGCCUUUAUGUCCAGGGCUACACACAUGCGACAAUGGUCGAGACAACGCGUUGCAAACCAGUAAUGGUAAGCUAAUCGCAUAAAAUCGACCUCAGUACGGAUUGAGGGUUGCAAUUCACCCUCAUGAAGAUGGAGUUGCUAGUAACCGCAGGUCAGCUAUACUGCGAUGAAUACGUUCCCGGGGCUU
rnacentral:rRNA from 1 species